rnacentral:lncRNA from 1 species
UCCCCACCAUGUGCCCCACUCAGGGAAAGCUCAGGUGGCUCAAAGGAGGUCCUCAGUGCAGCUCAGAAACACGGAGUAGGUUAGAUGGGUUUCCUGAGCCAGCCUGGGAACAUAAGCACUGGAGCUCAUCGGUUUUAUGUGUAAAUGUAUUUCAAAUUUCAAAUAGUGCCGAUACACACAUGACCUUUCAGAAUACAACCCAUUAGCAAGUCGUAGACUGCCGCUUGUGCACCAGUGUCCAGAACCUGAAUUUCCCUGACUCAACUCAGAUUGAGGCUGAGACCUAAGGAGGGUUUCCAUCCAGAUGCACAAAGGGGAAGCAGCGAUGGCCAUUCCAUCAACCUGGAUUUGAUAAAACUCACUAGGAGGCGUGGAUCUAGAUGGGCACUCAGGAGCAUGGCACACGUGCUGGCUGCGUUGUUGUCGAGCCACCUGCCUUGUCAUCUGGACUACUGACGUCUUCCCGUUGGUCGGGAUCAAAACUGACCAUUGCUAAGCCUCCCUGGCCUUCGGGAUGGGCCCAUCUCGCAGACCCCCUGCUGAGCCAGGCCUGCAGGGACUUCAUGCUGGUCCCAGCCCUGCCCUCCACCUUGGUGUCCUGCUCUGCCUCGCCAAAGAAUUCUGCAACAGAAUACCAGGCAUGUCUGCACGCCCCCGUCUGGAGCAGAGGCGGGGUGAGACACUCUGGUCUGUUAAAGAAUGUGUUAGGGGCCUGCCAUGGCAGAGUGGUUAAGUUCACGUGCUCCAAUUUGGAGGCCCAGGGUUUCACUGGUUCGAUCCUGGGCGUGGACAUGGCACUGCUCAUCAGGCCACGUUGAGGCUGCAUCCCACAUUCCACAACUAGAAGGACCCACAACUAAAAAUACAUACAACUGUAUACUGGGGGGAUUUGGGGAGAAAAAGCUGAGAGAAAGAGAAAAAAAGGAAGAUUGGCAACAGUUGUUAGCUCGGGUGCCAAUCUUUUAAAAAAAAAAAAGAUGGGGCCGCCCCGUGGCCAAGGCUUAAGUUCGUGUGCUCUGCUUUGGGUGGCUGGGGGUUUUGCUGGUUUGGAUCCUGGGUGCGGACAUGGCACUGCUCACCGAGCCAUUCUGGGGUGGCGUCCCACAUGCCACAACUAGAGGGACCCACAACUAACAGUA